rnacentral:rRNA from 1 species
AGAGUUUGAUCAUGGCUCAGAUUGAACGCUGGCGGCGUGCUUAACACAUGCAAGUCGAGCGGUAACAGGCGUAGCAAUACGUGCUGACGAGCGGCGAACGGGUGCGUAAUACAUGGGAAUCUGCCUAGUAGUGGGGAAUAACCCGGCGAAAGCCGGGCUAAUGCCGCAUACGAUCCACGGAUGAAAGCGGGGGACCUUCGGGCCUCGCGCUAUUAGAUGAGCCCAUGCCGGAUUAGCUAGUUGGUGAGGUAACGGCUCACCAAGGCGACGAUCCGUAGCUGGUCUGAGAGGACGGCCAGCCACACUUGGACUGAGACACGGCCCAGACUCCUACGGGAGGCAGCAGUGGGGAAUAUUGGACAAUGGGGGCAACCCUGAUCCAGCGACGCCGCGUGUGUGAAGAAGGCCUGCGGGUUGUAAAGCACUUUCGGUGGGAACGAAAUAUGCCGGGCUAAUAUCCCGGUAGGCUGACGUUACUCAAUGAAGAAGCACCGGCUAACUCUGUGCCAGCAGCCGCGGUAAUACAGAGGGUGCGAGCGUUAAUCGGAAUUACUGGGCGUAAAGCGCACGUAGGUGGCUGUGUAAGUCGGGUGUGAAAU